ACAGUUGGUCACACUGGUUUGAUGACGCCGGUCGGGCGUCGCAUCUCGGCGGCGGCAACCUCGGGCCGGCCUGCCGCAGCGGGCGCAGCUCGCCGUUCUUCAGUCUUUCGCUGUGGCCUAAACGUGAUCCACGUCGGUUAAUUUCACAGUAUUUUUCAACUGGCCGUUUCUCAUUUUUGUCGUCUACGGCAUCGCACAUAAUCACGUCGCUAAUCGUCCAUCGACUAUAUCACCUCUCUCUGCGAAAUCAGCCGUGUUUGUUUAGUGUUGACGUGUCGCACGGUUUGUCCGUCGGCAGAAUGGGAACCACUUGAAAUUGGACCUUGUGAACGUUCAGGUGUAACAACGUUCCCUUUCACCGCCGGCUCGACGACACGUAGACAACAACAACUGUCGCCGCUGCCGUCUACCCUCCGCGCAACGAUGACUCGGAAUGCCGACUGACGACGUACAAUAAUUGAACGUGUACUGCGUAGCAGCAUCGUAUGGCGUCGGUGCACUGCGGACCGGUCGGCCAUUUAUCUCGAAACUUCACUUCUUCCUCGUCGGUACCUGCUGCUCUGCUGUGUGCGCACUGUGUUCGUCUCGUCGCCUCCAAAAGCCGACGGUGAUAGUUUUCCGUUCUGUACGCCAUCGGCCGUCAUUAGAUGGACAGGUAUCAUUCCGACAGCGAGAACUUGUGUAUACGGUACCGGUAAUUGCAGAAUUUCAGUCUUGCCAUGAAAGCCUGACCUACGAACACUGACCACAUCCAGAUCAACGUCAAUUGUUGUUCGUCGUGCAGAGUAUCCGGAACUGUUACAUUGUUACUGGUUUGCAUGUUACUGUUAAAAAUAGUUUUAUC